CCUACGGGAGGCAGCAGUAAGGAAUCUUCCACAAUGGGACGAAAGUCUGAUGGAGCAACGCCGCGUGCAGGAUGAAGGCUUUCGGGUCGUAAACUGCUUUUAUAUGGGAAGAUUAUGACGGUACCAUAUGAAUAAGGACCGGCUAACUACGUGCCAGCAGCCGCGGUAAUACGUAGGGUCCAAGCGAUAUCCGGAAUUACUGGGCGUAAAGCGUGUGUAGGUGGAUUAAUAAGUGUGAUGCGAAAUCCGGCGGCUCAACCGUUUGGACUGUGUCGCAUACUGUUAGUCUAGAGGACGGCAGAGGUAAGUGGAAUUACGGGUGUAGCAGUGAAAUGCGUAGAUAUCCGUAGGAACACCAAUGGCGAAGGCAGCUUACUGGGCCACACCUGACACUGAGACACGAAAGCGUGGGGAGCGAACAGGAUUAGAUACCCUGGUAGUCCACGCCGUAAACGAUGCAUACUAUUAGUAUGGGGUAUCGACCCCCUGUGCUGAGAAGCUAACGCGAUAAGUAUGCCGCCUGGGGAGGAGAGCGCGAGAACGUAAACGUACGUUAAAGAAGUAGUUAGGCGUGAGACGNGCCGACGGACGACGACGAGGGAGGAGG
rnacentral:rRNA from 1 species